rnacentral:rRNA from 1 species
UACGGAGGUCGCAAGCGUUGUUCGGAAUUACUGGGCGUAAAGCGCGUGUAGGCGGUCUGGUAAGUCGGUUGUGAAAUCCCCGGGCUCAACCCGGGAACUGCGACCGAAACUGCUGGGCUAGAGUUCCGGAGAGGAAGGCAGAAUUCCCAAUGUAGGGGUGAAAUCCGUAGAUAUUGGGAGGAAUACCAGUGGCGAAGGCGGCCUUCUGGACGGUGACUGACGCUGAGACGCGAAAGCGUGGGGAGCAAACAGG